rnacentral:rRNA from 1 species
AGUUUCUUGUUUUUUUUUUAGAAAUAUUUUCUGCUCAGUGAUUUUAAACAGCCGCGGUAAUUUGACCGUGCGAAGGUAGCAUAAUCAUUUGUCUUGUAAUUUGGGACUGGAAUGAAUGGGAGUACAGAGAACUGACUUUCUUCUCUUUUUUUUUAGAAUUUGUUUUUUACGUGAAGAAACGUGAAUGUAGUAAGGGGACAAGAAGACCCUUUUGAGCUUUAUUUUAGUUUGUUUUUUGUUAUUAGAAUGGAUGUUUGGAAAUUUGGUUGGGGCGACCGAGGAAGAGAUUGGAUCUUCCUUUUGUUAUAUUUUUUGUAUUUUAGAUCCUUAGUUUUUGAUUUAAAGAUUAAGUUACCAAAGGGAUAACAGCGUAAUUAUUUCUGUGAGUUCUUAUUAAAGGAAAAGAUUGCGACCUCGAUGUUGACUUUUGAUACCCUUUUGGUGUAGUAGCUUUUUGGGGGGGUCUGUUCGACCCUUAAAUUUUG